rnacentral:rRNA from 1 species
ACGCUGGCGGCGCGUCUUAAGCAUGCAAGUCGAGCGGUAAGUUGGAAGCUUGCUUCUAACCUAGAGCGGCGGACUGGUGAGUACGCGUGGGUGACGUACCCUUUUUGACGGGGAUAGCCUGUGGAAACACUGGGUAAUACCGGAUAAGCUGGCUUGUGUCAGAGGCAAGUCAGGAAAGGUUCUUUUGAACCGCGAAAGGAGCGGCCCGCGUGCUAUUAGUUAGUUGGCGGGUAACGGCCCACCAAGACGACGAUAGCUACCCGGCCUAAGAGGGUGAACGGGCACAUUGGGACUGAGAUACGGCCCAGACUCCUACGGGAGGCAGCAGCUAAGAAUAUUCCGCAAUGGACGAAAGUCUGACGGAACGACGCCGCGUGGAUUGAUGAAGGCCGGAAGGUUGUAAAAUCCUUUUGGGAGCGAGGAAUAAGGAAUCUGAGAGAAACGGAUUCUGGUGACGGUAGCUUCUGAAUAAGCAACGGCUAAUUACGUGCCAGCCGCCGC